rnacentral:rRNA from 1 species
UACGUAGGGGGCAAGCGUUGUCCGGAUUUACUGGGCGUAAAGGGUCCGCAGGUGGCAGUGUAAGUCUGCUGUCAAAGAAUGAGGCUUAACCUCAUCAAGGCAGUGGAAACUACACAGCUAGAGUACGGUCGGGGUAGAAGGAAUUCCUGGUGUAGCGGUGAAAUGCGUAGAGAUCAGGAAGAACACCGGUGGCGAAAGCGUUCUGCUAGACCUGUACUGACACUGAGGGACGAAAGCUAGGGGAGCGAAUGGG